GCCUGGUGCGGUGGCACAUGCCUGUAGUCCCAGCUACUUGGGAGGCUGAGGUGGGAGGAUUGCUUGAGCCCAGGAGUUCUGGGCUGUAGUGCACUAUGCUGCCCGGGUGUCUGCAUGAAGUUUGGCAUCAAUAUGGUGACCUCCUGGGAGCGGGGGACCACCAACUUGCCUAAGGAGGGGUGAACCAGCCCAGGUCAGAAACGGAACAGGUCAAAACUCCCGUGCUGAUCAGUAGUGGGAUCGUGCCUGUGAAUAGCCACUGCACUCCAGCCUGGGCAACAUAGCGAGACCCCGUCUCU
rnacentral:SRP_RNA from 1 species